rnacentral:rRNA from 1 species
UGGGGAAUAUUGCACAAUGGGGGAAACCCGUGAUGCAGCAACGCCGCGUGAGUGAAGAAGUAUUUCGGUAUGUAAAGCUCUAUCAGCAGGAAAGAAAAUGACGGUACCUGACUAAGAAGCCCCGGCUAACUACGUGCCAGCAGCCGCGGUAAUACGUAGGGGCAAGCGUUAUCCGGAUUUACUGGGUGUAAAGGGAGCGUAGACGGUUUUGCAAGUCUGAAGUGAAAGCCCGGGGCUUAACCCCGGGACUGCUUUGGAAACUGUAGGACUAGAGUGCAGGAGAGGUAAGUGGAAUUCCUAGUGUAGCGGUGAAAUGCGUAGAUAUCGGGAGGAACACCAGUGGCGAAGGCGGCCUACUGGGCACUAACUGACGCUGAG